rnacentral:rRNA from 1 species
GAUGAACGCUGGCGGCGUGCCUAAUACAUGCAAGUCGAACGAAACUUCUUUAUCACCGAGUGCUUGCACUCACCGAUAAAGAGUUGAGUGGCGAACGGGUGAGUAACACGUGGGCAACCUGCCCAAAAGAGGGGGAUAACACUUGGAAACAGGUGCUAAUACCGCAUAACCAUAGUUACCGCAUGGUAACUAUGUAAAAGGUGGCUAUACUACCGCUUUUGGAUGGGCCCGCGGCGCAUUAGCUAGUUGGUAGGGUAAAGGCUUACCAAGGCAAUGAUGCGUAGCCGAAUUGAGAGGUUGGUCGGCCACAUUGGGACUGAGACACGGCCCAAACUCCUACGGGAGGCAGCAGUAGGGAAUCUUCCACAAUGGGCGAAAGCCUGAUGGAGCAACGCCGCGUGGGUGAAGAAGGUCUUCGGAUCGUAAAACCCUGUUGUUAGAGAAGAAAGUGCGUGAGAGUAACUGUUCACGUUUCGACGGUAUCUAAACAGAAAGCCACGGCUAACUACGUG